rnacentral:sRNA from 1 species
UGCAUCUGAGGCCAGUGAGGAUGAGAACCUCCGGGGGCAGGAGGUUCGACUCGAGCGAAGCGAGAGAACGUUGCGUCAGCAACGGCCCGCAG